rnacentral:rRNA from 1 species
UACGGGGAGGGCGAGCGUUAUUCAGCGUAAUUGGGCGUAAAGGGCAUGUAGGCGGUUUAAUAUGUUCAAAGUAAAAUCUUAUGGCUUAACUGUAAAAAAACUUUAUGGAAUACUAUUAAACUUGAGUAUAGGAGAAGAUAGCGAUACUUUUAGAGGAAAGGUAAAAUUUCGAAAUACUAAAAGAGUCACCAACUGGCGAAGGCGGCUAUCUAAUUUAUAACUGACGCUGUCGUGCAAAAGCGUGGGGAGCAAACAGG